GAAAUGUGCCUGAGCAUUAAGGAUUACUUUGAUAGAGUAAACUACAGGGACUACACUCCCUCAUUUCCUUAGGAAGACAGGACUCGAACCCGCACCAAGAAACUCAAAAUCACUUGUACUUCAUUAUACAACCUCC
rnacentral:misc_RNA from 1 species